rfam:Burkholderia sp. STM 7296 strain STM7296 genome assembly, contig: BN2475_Contig_113
GUCGUCGUGAGGCGGGGUCAGACGGAAGCGUGUAGCAAAACCACGACCUGACGAACAGAGACCAGAUAUGAGGCCUAAGGGCGACGAGCCGACGCUCGGUCCGCCAACCCACCGGCAACUCGUCGCAGGUCCGAGUUGUUGUAACAUUA